GGUAUGAAAAAUUCAAAAUAUAAUAAAUAUUCAAAUGAUCUAAGUUCAAAAUUUUAGUAUUACAUUUAUAAUAAGUGAUUUUGAUGUGAAAAUUGAAAUUAAGAAAGAAAAACUACUAACUUUAUUGAUCUUAAUUAGUCUUUGAACAGUAGUUUCUUUUAUUGUAUGUGCUAUUACUAACUUCUUAAUAUUGAGUUUGCAGGUGGUUGGGUCCAGAAGAAACACAAGCAAAUUGUAUUCUUUAUACUUUAAGCAUUGCGCGAACAUGUUUUACUUAAUUCAACAAAAUUUACAUAGAUUUCUUAUUUAUUAUUAAUUUGCAGUUUCUUUCAGGCAUAUUAUUUUAGUUUAUAGUAUUCAUUAGAAUCUUAUGCUACUUUUCUUGAAGUUAUUAGAGUAUUAUAGAAGGUAAAAGAAAACCCGUAUCAAUGACCCACGUGGAAGUGGAUCGAAUGGAUUUUUCGUGCUUGCGUCAAUAAUUAACGUCACAUUAGAAGAACGAAGAACAUUAGGAUUGGCUCUUUCAGCAUCAAUUUAUUUCCUAUAUUAAGAAGAUUUAGCAGGUGUGUGUCUUACCGUUCUUCGACGAACGAUACAUCGAAGUCACGGAUAUUACUAAUCUACCUAGGUAAGGAAACAAACCAACUCUUGUCUGUCCAUACUUCUUCCCUUGUACAUGUACACCCUAUUAAGCAUUUAAAUAAAUUGAUCAGAAAUCUGGAAA